rnacentral:rRNA from 1 species
GACUACCGGGGUAUCUAAGCCCGUUUGCUCCCCACGCUUUCGCGUCUCAGCGUCAGGACAGGCCCAGUCACCCGCUUUCGCCACAGGCGUUCCCUUAGAUAUCUACGCAUUUCACCGCUCCACCUAAGGUUCCAGUGACCCCUACCUGCCUCAAGAACGAUAGUAUACCGAGCAGUUCCCGGCUUGAGACCGGGGAUUUCACAAGGUACUCACCGUUCCGCCUACACGCGCUUUAAGCCCAGUAAUUCCGAACAACGCUAGGGACCUCCGUCUUACCGCGGCUGCUGGCACGGAGUUAGCCGUCCCUUUCGUUCGCUGGUCAACUCGGCGACGUAUUAGGUCGCCUCACUUCCUGACAAACUAUUGAAGUUUACAUCCCGAAGGACUUCAUCCUUCACGCGGCGUCGCUCCGUCAGGCUUUCGCCCAUUGCGGAAUAUUCCUUACUGCAGCCCCCCGUAGG